UCACCGCUUGCGCGGGCAGUUCUAUUAGAGUCCCCAGCAUUACCUGAUGGCAACUAAUAGUAGGGGUUGCGCUCGUUGCAGGACUUAACCUAACACCUCACGGCACGAGCUGACGACAGCCAUGCAGCACCUAGUUUCGGGUCAUUGCUGACUAACGUAUUUCCACGUUAUUCCCUAACUUUCAAGCCCUGGUAAGGUUCCUCGCGUAUCAUCGAAUUAAACCACAUGCUCCUCUGCUUGUGCGGGCCCCCGUCAAUUCCUUUGAGUUUCAACCUUGCGGUCGUACUUCCCAGGUGGAUUACUUAAUGCUUUCGCUUAGACGCGUACGGUGUAUUGCACACAUCGAGUAAUCAUCGUUUAGGGCGUGGACUAC
rnacentral:misc_RNA from 1 species